GGAUGUCUGGGUGACUAGAGUAGGCCCCAUGGUCUGUGUCCCUUCAGGGUGCUCUUGCUGUCUGCCCACAAAUGGCCACAGGGUUGUUCUCCAGGCUUUGGUCUAGAGAACAUUUCUGUAAAUGACAGCAAGAUCCAGAAUCACGCUGAGUCCAACUGACUCUCACGUCAGACACAAAGCAGUUUUAGGCCUCGGCUUGAGCAGUGUGUAGGCCCAUGACACCCUAGUCCCGCCUCAAGUAUAUAGCACUCAAAAGGCAGGAAGUCCGUGCGAACACUGAGGGCUCUCACCCCACCCCCACCCCAGCAGUUAGCAUUUCGUGCACAUCAAGGAAGACUCCCGUUUACUCCAGCCCUCCACUGUGCUGACGACAUGGAAGCCAGGGGCAGCGCCCCGGGGGAAGAAUCCCCCACUAAGAGUGGACACAGUCUAGGGAGUCCUCUUGAGGGUGUGGUUGGCCUAAGGCCAUCUUGUUUAUACUGUGAGAUUCAGACCCGCACACUUAGCAAGUGUGGAGUCUGGAUAAGAGUCGAGUUGGCUGUUAGCAGUGAGGCAUGCGCGCACCUUUGCUAGAGCUGUGGAAGCCGUUACUCUGACAGGCUGAGGGAGGGCUGGGAGUGAUGAUGUAACCAGCACCGGAUUGUCACACAGCUACAGUGGCAAGAAGGCUUAUGCUAUUCCAGUAGGAAAUACACUUUCCUAAAUUUAUUGUGGGGAAAUAGGAAAAUAACCAGGAGCUGUGCGCAUAAUGAAAAACAUGAAUUAAUGGCCCCUGGACCCUGGAGAGCAACGAUGCUGCUUGACCAACAUGAGCACUCCUGCCAUGCGCUGACUCCGUGAACACACCCGCGCUUCUUUCCCUUUGCCCCAGGCCUCCACGGGAAACUGUAGCACCAGUUUUGCUGCCAACUGGAUCAUGUAGGUAGAAGGCUCACAGGAAAUUGUGGCCUAAGGAAGUCCCAGAGAAGAGCAUGUACCCACUAAAACGAGCCAUUUCUCUGUCGGAAGGGCUAAUGCAAUGCGUGACCUAGCAACCACAGGGGGACUGAAAACACCCGCGGGCUGUCAGGCUCCGCCCCCUUCCCCAAGCUUCCGAAUCCCAGAGUUCCUUCUCCGCCCUGUGAAAUCCCAGCCCUCCGUGCCACAUGCACAGUCUCCACUCCCAAGGAGACACUGGCGUCCUCCCUCUGUUCUGGUUAUAAGCCCAAUUCAGCUUCCGGAGAUGCCUGUCUGCUGCCUUAUUCCCAGAUCACCCCCACCCAGGUUGGUCUCACCCCGUCAGCGUGGGUCAGCAACAAGGCUGCUGUGCUGGCCACUGUCUGCCCCUUGGUUUGUGUCCAAUCUGAUGGGGACAGACAAGUGUUACUUAUUCUGAAGCCUCAGAUCUCAACAAGAAGCACUUGAUAAAGGUUAGUCAGAUGGGAGCCCCUAGCUGCUGCUCCAGCGCCACGCUGUGCCUGCCUGACACUGAGUUAUUUGAAACCCAGCCACACCUGGCCCGCUUGGCCCCCUGAAGAUACCCUCCCUGAAUGCAGAUUUGAAAUGGAGCCUGUGUGUCUCGUCUCAGCCCCAAGCCAGCACAAACCACAGCUGUGGACCAGGACAGGCCUAAUGGCAGCACCAGAGCCCUAUUAAACAGUUCCUCCUGUCACGUGUGCUGCCCCGUCCUAGCCAAGUUGCAAGCCGGGAAGCCCGAGGAGUGAAGCCCGUGGAUGCAAGGACAGGGACAGACAUGGUUUUAGGGACACCUCUAUGCUCCCCGUCCACUGUGUGAGCGCCGUGUGGCCCAGACUUCCCAUCAGCCCACAGUGACGCCCUUCCUUUCUUCUGGACCUGUGCCAGUUUGGUAUUGGAACUGGUCAGACGAGAUCUACGAAGGAGUGUACCGGUGUAAACAAGCUUCGUGAAACCGGAGUGCGGCUCAGUGGUCCAGUGCUCCCCUAGCAGGAGCAUAGCUCUGGCUUCACUCCCAGCCUCAGGGAGCUUGAGGUGUAUUUCACACCAAGUUCAGCUAGUAUAAGGAAUUGUGCCGUGGGGAGCAAACGUGUCCAGAAGUGUUUCCUACCGGUGUGCCGAAGAGAGUACAGCCGCUCUUUAGUGAGAGACUUCAAGACCAAGCUAGGGGAAAAGCACAAUGAAAACAGAUAUUGUCUCCAGUUCAAGCUAAUUUUGAAGGCCUUGACUAACUAUGUACUCAAGUUGGAUCUCGAACUUCUGGUCUUCUCGUUUCUACCUCCUGAGGAUUAUUGGUGUGAACUACCACCCCAUUUUAUGUGGUGGUGGGCAUCAAAUAUGAGCCUCAAACCAAGGAUUUGUGUGUGCUGGGAGAAGCCUGUGCUAAAUGAGCUGCAGCCCAUGCUCUCACUAUUGAGAUCCAUGGCUUUGAGUCUCAAUCUUCUGCUACUACAUCGCUGAUCUUCAAUGGGAUGCUUCACCUUUUGGGAUUAUAUUUUCACACACAAAAUGGGAAUCAUAAUGCUCAGCAGGGCUUUAUGACUCCGGUGAGAUAUAUGUAAUAUGCCUGACCAAUCAUUGUUAAGUACUCUCUAAAAGUGGUAUGUGUAUUUAAACUUAUAGUCCUGGAAUUCAUUGAAAAACAGUAAAAACUAUCAACUUA